UACAGGGGGGGCAAGCGUUGUUCGGAAUUACUGGGCGUAAAGGGCGCGUAGGCGGCCUACUAAGUCGGACGUGAAAUCCCUCGGCUCAACCGGGGAGCUGCGUCCGAUACUGGUGGGCUCGAAUCCGGGAGAGGGAUGUGGAAUUCCAGGUGUAGCGGUGAAAUGCGUAGAUAUCUGGAGGAACACCGGUGGCGAAGGCGGCGUUCUGGACUGCAACUGACACUGAGGAACGAAAGCCAGGGGAGCAAACGGG
rnacentral:rRNA from 1 species